rnacentral:rRNA from 1 species
AUUGAACGCUGGCGGAAUGCUUUACACAUGCAAGUCGAACGGCAGCACGGGAGCUUGCUCCUGGUGGCGAGUGGCGAACGGGUGAGUAAUACAUCGGAACGUACCCAGUUAUGGGGGAUAACUAACCGAAAGGUUAGCUAAUACCGCAUACGCCCUGAGGGGGAAAGCGGGGGACCGUAAGGCCUCGCGUAAUUGGAGUG